AAAAAAUAAAUAAAUAAUAAAACUUGCAGAUAGGUUCUGAAUGUUUAUUGUAUGCAUCCUCUAUGAUGUAUCAUUUUAUUGGAGAUUAUUGCAUUGUCUACAAAAAUAAGAACUCUGAGGAUGCCAAAAGAUAAACCUUGAAAGAGGACUAGAAGUGAGAUCCUCAAAAAACAAAAAGCUGAGAAGUGUUUUGCAAUUUUUCUUAACCAUUUAUGUAUGGUUAUGUAUUUUAUGUCUAGAAAGUGAAUUUCAGAUCUGAGAGGAAACUUAAAAGUUUCUCAGUCUAGUUCUUUCAUGUUAGUGCCAAGAAAACUGAUCAGAAAGAGAUUACAUGACUUGCCCAAAAUUGAACAGUCCUAAAUCUGGGCCUAGGCAGGCAUCUGAGUGUCUUAAAUUGGAGUUAAAUGUAUUAGCAUCAUGGUAUUAACAUCAUGAUAUUCCAUAUCUCAAAUCCGAUUUUACUUUCAUUACAGUAGUGAAAUAAGUGUGAUUAGUUAUUAUCCCCAUUUCCUUCCCUGGGAGGCACAUUGUUUUAGUAUCAAAAACAGCUAGCUUGUAAGAAUCCUGGGCUAGAAACCUGACCUCAUUUCAAGUUUUACUCUGUUGCACUGAGACCUUGGGUGAGUUACUCAGUUUCUCAGCCUCAGUCCCCUCAUCAGGAAAAUGUGGUGUUAACACUUUCUGUGAAGAAUGAUCAAAGGAGUGGAGAUUAUAGAGAUUAUAAACACACUUGGCACAGAGUAAGUUUAAGAACUGGCAGCUGGUUUUUAUAAAGUUAACGGUCAUAGAAGAGAGGAAAGGGCAGGCUUGGAGUGACUCAGAGUUGGAUUAUAACCUUGGCUUCUUUAAUCACCUAGGACAUAUACUCUCCAACUGUAGCUUCCUUCCCUCUGAGAUGGAAAUUAUAAGCCAUCUUGCAGUGUUUUGAGGAUUGGAGUUAGUGUAUAAAAUGCCUCUUCUGUUGGCUCUCCUUGGAGAUUUGUCGUAUCCUAUUGAUUGUCAUCAAAGGAAAGAAGUGGCAGGAUGAUGGCAUAAGAGGGAAGAACCUUGAGUUUAAUAGUCUGAAAAAGUGGUUACAGGUUAUUGCUGUGCUUUUUUCUCUCUGUGGGUUUCUGAACCCAUCACCUAACCUGAAGCCUCUAACUUCAUCUGCAGAAAUGUUUUGUGCCAGGUGCCUGUAAAGCAGAACUCUUGAGAUAGAAGGAGUGUUGUCUGAGGGGGAAAAAAAAUCGCGAUUAGGAGAGGAGGAACUUGAAUGAGAUUUACAUACCCUCUCUCUUCCAAGGGAGGAGAGAAUGUUUGGUGAUGCCUGCCCACUCCUUCCUGGGCAGACCCCUUGUAGCAUGGAACAUUGGAGAAUUUGCAGUCUGCUAACUGUUUCUGAUUUAGGAGGUUGGUGGGGAGGCCUUUUAAUUUGCAUUUUUAACAAGUUCUGAGGUGAUGCUUCAAAUAUGUCCAGGCAGAAGGGCUGCCUCACAGUGAUUUCUGCCAUACCACAUGGGAAUUGAAUUCACAGGUAUCUCUAACCCUUGAGCCUGAAACCAAAAGACUCAAAAACAAACACUAAGUGGACAAAGAAUAUCUCAGAAUUUCUGUGGAGACCAGUGACACGAGGACCUACGGUCUCUCUCUUCUCAUCUUGGCACUUCAGAAAUCUCCCGAGUCUGGAUAUAGCACUGGGGAAAGGGGUGGGGCCUCCCGUUGAUAAGAUUGUCACUGCAGAUAAAUGGAGCUUUCAAAUUGAAAGAAAGAAGGAGGGCUUCCCGUUGAUAAGAUUAUUGUCACUGUAGGUAAAUGGAGGCUUCAAAUAGAAAUAAGUUUCAGUUACAGAAAAGAAAAUAUCUUUGUUUUACACAUUUGAGUUUGCAGACCUAAUGUUCCUCCUCCUACACUAUCAUCUGUAACCCUAAGGCACUCAACAUUUUAAGCUAACUAUAAGGAUUUUCACUUCACUCACAGAUCCUAAGGUUUUAUUCACUAACGUUUUUAUUUGGUGACGAUAGUUGACAAGAACAAAGCUAUGGAGAACAAACAAAACACAGCUGUGGUGCCUGGCAUUGCCACCUCACUAGAUUGUGAGUUCCUCUGGGACAGGGUCCAUACAUUUCCUUCUUAUCCCUCACUUAGCCAUUAGCAUGCACAGUGCUUGUAUUUAGUAGGUGCUCAAUAAAUGUUUGUGGAAUGAAUGCAUGAUGAACAAAAUCUAUACUGAGGACUCU